CACCACUGAAUAUGCAUAUUUUGGUCAGUAAAUUAGCUACUACUGCUUCUGAAUUUAUCCAUGAAGACAACUUAUUUGUCAAGAGUGUUACUUUUUUCACAAAUUGAGUUGUUUGAGUACCUGUCUGAGAUUAAAACUGUCUCUUGAACACAUUAGAAUUGUUUCUCACAUGUAGAUCAGAGAAAAAUGGUGUCUCAUUUUGAAUAGUGAUUGUGAAUUUGAGAGUCAACUAAGAGUUUAGAUACUAUGCAGACAGUAACUAUUAUUGUUUUGUGUCCUAUCAGGUGGAAAUCCUUGAUUGGAAGACAAAGGAACAAUUAUGCUUCCUAGAUAAGGUGGAACCAAAUGCUACAAUUAGGGAGAUAAGAUCAAUGUUCCAUAAAUUAUAUCCCCAGUGGUAUCCGGCAAGACAGUCAAUAAAACUUGAUCCAAAAGGAAAGUCCCUGAGGAAUGAGGAAAUCCUGCAGCACCUCCCUGUUGGCACAACUGCUACUUUAUACUUUAAAGAUUUAGGGCCACAGAUAGGAUGGACUACGGUGAGCUAUGCUUCAAAUCUGAGCCAAUUUAAUGGCUGUUUUUCCAUAAUUAAUCUUUACAUCACUUUUUGUCUCACUCCAAUAUUUCUGCAUGAUGCCUGCUCUGACAGUGGAUGCAGGCAAUGAACCCUCAUUGCUUCAGUUCAUUUUAUCCAGGGAAAGCAGCAAGAAAACAUUUUGAAUGUCUAGUUCCCUAGGAGAGCAGCAGAGGAAAACUUGCUACUGGGUUAGUUUGGCCAUGCUGAACUAAGGUGUAGGUUCUCAAAUGGAUUUAGAUGUCUAAUCACUAGGAACUAAGUAUCUAAAUUCCUGUGCAACUCUCCUGACAGAGAUCAGGAUUAUACUCAAGUUUGUUCUGCAAAGAGGCAUCUGAGAAGCUUACCUGUCAGUAAUUGAGCUGACUUCAGCAGGAAAAUGCACGAAAGUAAAAAUAGUUAGUUGUAUAUGGCUGUGACCCAGGAUGCUAAUGCCAGGCUAAUGACAGCUGAUCAUUUCUGUAAUCCAUGAAGAUCUCAUGUUUACUCUCUCAGCUCAAAGACAGGUCCCAUCACAACUCACUCAGCAGGUGACACUGCAUUCAUGUUUACGCAAUGAGGCAAUCAAUGACUCGGUUCUUCAGAAAGUCCAUAGUGCACGUACUAGCACUACUUCUAAGAAAACAGCACAGCACGAAGGGAAAAGGUACCCGGUAAUUUAAAGGCACAUUUACUAUUUCUUAUCUAUGAAAUAUUAAUAAAAUAUUGUGUCAGUGACAGAUAGAUUCAUAGGAGGCA